GGUUCGAUGGCGUAGUUGGUUAUCGCAUCUGUCUAACAUAUAGUUUUGACUGUGACCCUGUUACACAGAAGGUCCCCAGUUUCGAGCCUGGGUCGAAUCA